AACGAACGCUGGCGGCAGGCUUAACACAUGCAAGUCGAGCGCCCCGCAAGGGGAGCGGCGGACGGGUGAGUAACGCGUGGGAAUCUACCCAUCUCUACGGAAUAACGCAUGGAAACGUGUGCUAAUACCGUAUACGUCCUUCGGGAGAAAGAUUUAUCGGAGAUGGAUGAGCCCGCGUUGGAUUAGCUAGUUGGGGGGGUAAAGGCCUACCAAGGCGACGAUCCAUAGCUGGUCUGAGAGGAUGAUCAGCCACACUGGGACUGAGACACGGCCCAGACUCCUACGGGAGGCAGCAGUGGGGAAUAUUGGAAAAUGGGCGCAAGCCUGAUCCAGCCAUGCCGCGUGAGUGAUGAAGGCCCUAGGGUUGUAAAGCUCUUUCACCGGUGAAGAUAAUGACGGUAACCGGAGAAGAAGCCCCGGCUAACUUCGUGCCAGCCGCCGCCGUAACAC
rnacentral:rRNA from 1 species